GACGUCGAAUAUCGACGUCAUAAACACCAAAGUUGAUCGUGUUUAUGACGUCGAAUAUCGACGUCAUAAACACCAAAGUUGAUCGUGUUUAUGACGUCGAAUAUCGACGUCAUAAACACCAAAGUUGAUCGUGUUUUUGACGUCGAUAUUCGACGUCAUAAACACCAAAGUUGAUCGUGCUUAUGACGUCGAAUAUCGACGUCAUAAACACCAAAGUUGAUCGUGUUUAUGACGUCGAAUAUCGACGUC
rnacentral:miRNA from 1 species